AUCUGGAGUGACACACAGGCGAAGGAGAUUAUGUUGGAGGACUGGGGCUUGAAUGCCUCAUCCUGAAGAAUCCUGCAGUUGCCCAGAAAUGCGGGGCUAGAGAGAACAGAUGCUUGGAAACGCCGUUGACAUUUCCAAGUUUUUAUAGCCCUGGUACAUAGCCCACUAACUCCAGCAUGCUUCACACAUGGAAAGGGAUCAUUUGUCAUUUUGAUGCCAAGAUGAUAUUCACAGCUCUAAAUGAAAUGGAUUACUUCUUUCUCCCUCCUGCUUGGACAGUUAAGGUGGAGGUAUUUCAGGCAUUCAUUGGGCACCCUGCGUAGGCAUGAAUGGCAGACUGGGAUUAGAAUUUGCUCUGUGGCGGGUGAAACAGGAGUCUCUAAAAAUGCUCACAACAGCAAGAGGCACCAGUCUCUGCCGUGCUCAAUCAGGGAGGGACGUGUUUGGCAAAAAUACCUUCAUUCGGAAACACAUACAUAAUAGUCAUUAAAGGGCAUUUAAAACCGGAAACAACUAACAUUCAGAGGAGUGGUACCCACCUAUACACACCACUCUUUGUAUUUUAACAGCAGUGGUGGAAAUUUGGACCAUUUUCCAGACAAUAGAUAUUCUCAGUUCGAGUUGUAGACAUUCUAGGGCAACUCAGACUAUAGCAGGUCUUUCUGCUUUCAGGAAAUUAUGACUUUGUGGUAUUACCCAACCUGUAAGUAAAAGUAAAGGAUGCAGUGAGGUCAAGAUUGCUCAUGUUUUGGCUACUGGAUGAAGGACAGUGGCCAGGAACAUAAUUAGAAUCAAGAUGUUACUUCUCCGGAAACCUGAAGAACAUCGUAAAAUCAAUCGGUCCCCGGGUAACUCCAGAGUGCCCACUCUGACAACGGCAUUCUAGAAGUUGUUCUCUCUGGCCUGUGCACGGAAGUGUUCCAGAAGCUUCACUUCCCUUUUCUGUUGAGUGCACAUGGGGUGACCCUCGCAGGGAAAACUGCACAUUUUCUUGAAGAUUUCUAGUUUUAGUUUGCUUCCGUCUAGGGAUGUUAUGGGAGCUGCUAUGCUUUGGACUUGAAGUUUUGUGGAGCGAGUGUCUCUGGAACACAGGCCACAGGCAGACAGGAAGAUCUCUGCUGGGAAGCUGAGAUCUGUGUCAGAUAAACUCUCGUAGGGAAUAAGAACGUUUUGUCACACCAGCGUUCUCAGAAGGAAGCUGCGCAAGAUGUUGGCCCCUCCCUUUCCAUCUCCUUGGACCACCUGCAGUUCACCUGGUGGCUGUUUGAUGGGCUCUUUGCUUUGAACUGGAGAGCCGGGCUGCUUGCGUCUCAUUUGGAAAUUGGAUUCAUUGUCAACCCUUGAGCCCAGCCAUCCCAGGCAGAUGUGAGCAAAUCUUGGAAGCAGCUCCCCUGUCUGCUGGACACCGUCACAGUGCUGUGUGCUCAUGACACAGGGCGAGAGUGUGCAGUACAGUCCUCAGUCAGAAAAAACAGUGGUGAUGUGGAGGGGAUGGCCAGGAAGCACGAAGCAGCAUAUAUUGUAUGUUUGUGCCAAAGGGAAAGGAGAGAUGAAAGGUUCUAGAUGAACUAGAACAGAAGUCCGGUACACACGUAUGACAAGGCAAAGCGGACACACAAUGGUACUGGCACAGACACGUCUAAGUGUGCGUUCGAGGCAAGUUCAGACAGCACUGAAGAAGACCAAGGCAGCUGUGGGCCGUGAAUAGCUUCUGGGAUAUGCUCCCACCACGGCAGGCUGCCUCACAACAAGCCGAGAAGCAAUGGGACCGACCAACCAUGAACUGAUACCUCCAAAACUGUGAGCCAAACAAACAGGCAAACCUUCACCAGGUCACUGAAGCCCCGUGAACCACUUCAGAUCAUACUAGCUUCGUGACAUCUCGUACCCAGCGAUCACCCAGUCCUGUCAAUUCUACCUUCUAAAUGCCCCACUCCUCAAGCCCUCCUCCAAAUCUGUACUGCAGCCAAGGGAUUUUUGCUUCCAUAUGAAGAAUAGCGAUUUUCUCCCUGUGUCCUUGCCUCCAGAGGAUGGGAAACUGUGGCCGGAGAAGAACAGGGCAGUGCAAUCGGUAUCUUCACCUCCCAGGCUUUACACAGGGGACAGAACAGUAGCACCAAUGCUUGUCAAAGAAAUCCCUGGGGUUAUUAUGCAGUGCUGAGGACUGAACCUAGGGCUUCAUACGUGCUGGUCAAGUGCUGUACCACUGAGCUACACACCCAACACCAUUUAAAAAGAAAUUCUUAGAAUUCUUAGCCAGGCCUGGAAGUACAUACUUAAUGCUAGCCGUGUGCAAGCUUGAGGCAGGAUUAUUGCAAUUUGGAGCUCAGCCCAAGUAACUUCGUCAGAUCCUGUCUCAAAACACAGUUUCAAAGGACAAUUAGCUCAGUGGUAAGAUGCUUACCUGAUGAGCACCACAAAAGGAAAAUGUAAAAGAGAAUUCUUAAAGGUAAAACUUGGUAAACUAAUCUGCCCAUAAGACGAACAUGAGAAAGUCUUGCUGGACAGAGAAGCAUGCACACAGACCUAGACAUUCUCAAAGGAGGCUCCGUCUUGUCAAAAAUAGACUGCACUGCAAAGAGCCAUUGGGUAUAAGUCACUGUGUUGCGUAAUUUAUCAUUUCAUGUGACGGCAGAGGAAAGACUUGUCAUGGUCAAAGUGGGUCCCAGAGAGAGCCUCCAGACUGAGAAAGGACUCCGGGGCUUGGAAACUCCACUGAACCAAAUGCAGACACCUGCUGGCUGCGCCUCCUUAUCGUUCCUGUCAGUCUGCUUUCUCCACCACUCCCUGGUGUAAAAUAUCCCAGCCAUUGUGAAUUCAAGCCAUCUCAGCCAACAUUUAUUAUGGACUGAUUACGUGUCGAGGGGUUGGAAAAUAAAUAAUACAUGAGCACUGGGGAUUGAAAAUUAAUUGGUAACACAUAAGCAGAAUCUCCACCUCUAAGGGUUCCAAUAAACACAUCAGUGCUCUCA